GCAGACACUGCCACUGAGGAAAAUCCUGUACUAUUAGCCAUGGUCAACCCCACCGUGUUCUUCGACAUUGCCAUCGACGGCGAGCCCUUGGGUUGCAUCUCUUUCGAGUUGUUUGCAAACAAGAUUCCAAAGACAGCAGAAAAUUUUCAUGCUCUGAGCACUGGAGAGAAAGGAUUUGGUUAUAAGGGCUCCUGUUUUCACAGAAUUAUUCCAGGGUUUAUGUGUCAGGGUGGUGACUUCACAUGCCAUAAUGGCACUGGCGGCAAGUCCAUCUACGAGGAGAAAUUUGAUGAUGAGAACUUCAUCCUAAAGCAUACAGGUCCUGGCAUCUUCUCCUCCCUACCGCCUUUAGCCACCAGGAAGCAUGGAAUGGGCCAGAUCCCUGGAUGCAAGCCAGGUCUGGAACCUGUAAGAAAAGAAAAUGUAGGCCCUGCAACUGGCUCUGAGGGAGCAGGAGAAGAUCAACCCCAUACUCUGAAUCUAAGAGAAGACUGGUGUCCACACUCUGAAUGGGAAGAAUGA